AGCGAACGCUGGCGGCGUGCCUAACACAUGCAAGUCGAACGUGAAAGGGAGCAAUCCCAAGUAAAGUGGCGUACGGGUGAGUAACACGUAGGUAAUCUACCCCAGAAUCUGGAAUAACCGGCCGAAAGGCUGGCUAAUACUGGAUAGAGCGACGGAAUCCGUAAUUGGGUUUUUCGGGAAAGGGAGCCUGUAAAAAGGCCUUCGUUCUGGGAUGAGCCUGCGUCCCAUCAGCUAGUUGGUGAGGUAAAAGCUUACCAAGGCGAUGACGGGUAGCUGGUCUGAGAGGACGAUCAGCCACACUGGAACUGAAACACGGUCCAGACUCCUACGGGAGGCAGCAGUGGGGAAUCUUGCGCAAUGGACGAAAGUCUGACGCAGCAACGCCGCGUGAGUGAAGAAGGCCUUCGGGUUGUAAAGCUCUGUCGAGUGGGACGAAAAUGCUUGGAGUUCACAGCUCCAGGAACUGACGGUACCACUAAAGGAAGCACCGGCUAACUCCGUG
rnacentral:rRNA from 1 species